rnacentral:rRNA from 1 species
UGGGGAAUAUUGGACACUGGGCGAAAGCCUGAUCCAGCCAUGUCGCGUGUGUGAAGAAGGUCUUCGGAUUGUAAAGCACUUUAAGUUGGGAGGAAGGGCAGUAAGCGAAUACCUUGCUGUUUUGACGUUACCGACAGAAUAAGCACCGGCUAACUCUGUGCCAGCAGCCGCGGUAAUACAGAGGGUGCAAGCGUUAAUCGGAAUUACUGGGCGUAAAGCGCGCGUAGGUGGUUCGUUAAGUUGAAUGUGAAAGCCCCGGGCUCAACCUGGGAACUGCAUCCAAUACUGGAGAGCUAGAGUAGGGCAGAGGGUGGUGGAAUUUCCUGUGUAGCGGUGAAAUGCGUAGAUAUAGGAAGGAACACCAGUGGCGAAGGCAACCACCUGGGCUCAUACUGACACUGAGGUGAGAAAGCGUGGGGAGCAAACAGG